rnacentral:rRNA from 1 species
AACGAACGCUGGCGGCAUGCCUAACACAUGCAAGUCGCACGAGACCUCCUGGGCUAGUGGCUCACGGGUGCGUAACGCGUGGGAACCUGCCCUUAGGUUCGGAAUAACUCCCCGCAAGGGGUUCUAAUAACUGCUAAUGUCCUCGGACCAAGGACUUAUCGCCUUUGGAUGGGCCCGCGUUGGAUUAGCUAGUUGGUAGGGUAAAAGCCUACCAAGGCGACGAUCCAUAGCUGGUCUGAGAGGAUGAUCAGCCACACUGGGACUGAGACACGGCCCAGACUCCUACGGGAGGCAGCAGUGGGGAAUAUUGGACAAUGGGCGAAAGCCUGAUCCAGCAAUGCCGCGUGGGUGAAGAAGGCCUUAGGAUUGUAAAGCUCUUUUACCGGGGAUGAUAAUGACAGUACCGGGAGAAUAAGCCCCGGCUAACUCCGUG